ensembl:misc_RNA Metazoa_SRP Metazoan signal recognition particle RNA
GCCGGGCGUGGUGGCGCACGCCUGUAAUCCCAGCUACUUGGGAGGCUGAGGCAGGAGAAUUGCUUGAACCCGGGAGACAGAGGUUGCAGUGAGCUGAGAUCGCACCACUGCACUCCAGCCUGGGUGACAGAGUGAGACUCUGUCUCAA